AACAUGCCUGGUCAAUAAAUCCACACUUCAGAACACACAUUGCCCCUGUUAAAGAUUCCUGUGCUACUUUAGAGUUAUACUGCAAGCAGAAGAGGACUUGAAUCAGAAAAUUGUAAGUUGCAAUAGACUAUCGUUCUCAAAAAUUAUUCUGUCUCUUUUUCCUUUUUCUUUUUUAGGUUGCUCUUGUUUUCUUGCUAAGAUGGUAGGAAAGGAUCUAGGUAAAGGUAAAGGGACCCCUGACCAUUAGGUCCAGUCACAGAUGACUCUGGGGUUGUGGCGUUCAUCUCGCUUUACUGGCCGAGGGAGCUGGCGUACAGCUUCCGGGUCAUGUGGCCAGCAUGACUAAGCCGCUUCUGGCGAACCAGAGCAGCGCACGGAAAUGCUGCUUACCUUCCUGCCGGAGCGCUACCUAUUUAUCUACUUGCACUUUGACGUGCUUUCGAACUGCUAGAUUGGCAGGAGCUGGGACCAAGCAAUGGGAGCUCACCCCGUCGCGGGGAUUUGAACCGCCGACCUUCUGAUCGGCAAGCCCUAGGCUCUGUGGUUUAACCCACAGCGCCAAUCACGUCUACCAUCCUCCAAAUGGUCUGUUAAUAUGCAUAUCUUGAAACUGCAGAGCCGUCUCUCCCUACAUUCUGUUGGAAAUUCCACAUGCUUUAUUUAUAGCACUUGGUUGCAACACUUCAGGCAAGCUUCAGCCAAACAGUACUGAACUUCAGCUGAGCAAAUCCAGCUUGGCAGUGAGCUAGGAACCAGAGUGAGCAGGAUAUUUGUGGCAUUGCAGUGGUACCUGUUCAGCCUGUCCUUCAAGCCUCUGUAAAUAAGUGUUUUGGAUACCACAGGGACCUUGUGUAAAUACAGAUUUUCAGUGUAACCAUGAGGGACAAAAAGUACUGAAGGCAAAUCUCUGCAAGCACUAUGGGACCAGAGAACUGCUCCCCCUGUACUGCUCCCCACCGUCCUCAGGUUCAGAGUGCCGUUUCCUAUGUCAGUUGUUGCCAGUCCAGAAGCAAACCACACCUUAUGUUUUAUUUAAAUGCUGCAAACAGUCUCAGCUAGCAAGGCAAACAUACUUGGUACACUGACCAUUAAAACAUUGGUGGACAGACAUGCAAGUAUGUCACAUGGCUUAUCUCAUCCAUUUGUUGCUACAUCAUUGGGAAGCUGCAAUCUAUAUCUCCACUGCUACCAGCCAAUUGGAAGAAGAGAGGACAGAACAAUACAACAGCUUACAUGGCCAAACAGCGAUUACCUGGACACCAGUGCUUCCCCCCCCCAGGGGGACACUCAAGGGUACGCAGUACUGGCACCUCUUUUUUGUGGUUAAAAAGUAACAACUUCGUGGUGAGUACCGGCACCUAUUUUUCUAGAAAAAAAGCACUGAGCUGCUCCUUCCAUUCCCCUGCCCUGCCGGUAAAGCAGGAAUAGAGAAUUUGUGUCUCCCACCCAGAGGAAGGUGGGCUGCAGCUCUCAUUAUCCCUGAUCAUUGGCCAUGCCAACUGGGAGUUGGCAUCUCAAAACAUCUGGAGGGUCAUGGAUAUCCAAUAUAGCAUAUCAGAGCUCAGCUUUUAACAAAGCAUGUUUUAAUUUGCCAGUGGCAGGAAAUGCACAAGAAGGGCGGUGUGCAUUCAAACAAUUCAUGAGUUCAAUAAUUACUGCUUUCAGAAGUAAGAGUUCAGCCUAAACUGUCACAGAUCCAGUAAGGUAGUUAUACGCCCCCAUGGAAGCCUGCGGAAAAGGAGGUGAAGGUUGUGACAGCCAGAGAAGGUGAAGUCUCACGAAGGUUGGGGUUCCUGGCUGUAACUAAACUGAGAGCAGGCAAAGGCUGCAAUUUCCAAGUUAUCAUAUGAACAGAAUUAGGCAUGAUUUGUGGGGAGGCAGCCUAUCUAAGGCCUCUCACCACAUGCUUUGGCCUCAUUUCAACUGUGCAAGCAGACAUAAAAGAAAAGACUAGUACUUGUGAAAUUGCAGUUUAAAAAACCUCUUACCUUCAUUAUAUAAAUAUCCCUUGCCAUUUACUAGAACGAUAGCAGUAUUUCAACUAUAAAAGUAGUCUCACUUCUAGGAAAGAUGGAGGCACCUGUGGACUUUCCCCUUCCAUGCAAUAUCUAAACGCUGCUAGGCUCUUGCUUUCUCUUUAGCCUGACCACUGGGAUUGUUUGCUUGUUUUGCACUGAAAAAGGGCCUCCCACCCUUUACCAAUUGCACUUAAGAAUGGCUUCCGAGUUCGCACCUCACCAAUAUUCUCAAGUGUCUCCAGGGAACAACAGAGAAGUUGUGGGCCUACAAAAAGAGAGAGGAGGCACCAAUAUCUCUGUCCUGACUGCAGCAGAAAAUGAGCUCUGAAACCUGGACAAACCAGGCAGGGCCACUUUUGCACACCAAGGGGAGCUCAUGGGCCCUAAUGGUCCAUCAGUGUUACUUGGUCAUGUCCAUAGGGCAUGUCCAGAAAGCCAUGGCAUAUGCAAAUGGAAAACCAUUUGGGGGGAUUAUUAACAUCAGCCUAUCUGAAUAACGGCUAAUUAGUGACAUCAGAUUUAUAAGAAAGGAUUCUGGCUUUGAUAACGGCUAAUUUCUCCAGUCCAGAACUGACAUACAAAACCGCAGGAGCAAUAUUAGCUUCCAAGCCAUUAAUUUUCAUGCCAGACUCGACAACACCUGGAUAGUUUAUAAGAAUCGCAUUAAUAAUGAGAGUCAUCAAGGAAUAGAUUUAUAGCUCCUUGUUUGCAACAUGUAGCUACAGUAUCAAAGCUACAUGGAUUACUUCGAAAUGUUCUCCCUUCCCUGCCUCAAGGGUCCAAAGGAGAAGCUGUUCUCACCCACCCACAGUUUUACGCAAUGAAUGACUCAGCUGCCCUCACCUGUAAUAAAGAGAUCCGUUUAAUUUGUUUAUAGCUAAAAGUAAAAGUGCGCUUGGAUUUCAGAACAGCAGGAGCGGCCAACAAGCCUUUGGAAAUUUCCAGCACACUUAGUUUUGUAUUUCAGUAAGAUCCAGGUAUCAUAUUACCCGGUCUGUGUUGAUCCUAUUCAAUAUAAAUUAACAUCAACCAGUUCACCCAUUGUACAUUUCUAUGCUAAUAAGAACGGAGGAGGGAAAGUAAAAGGGUGGCAUUUUGCAAACUUUCCAUGUGUGGUUAUAUGUGGAUAGUGAAUUCUAAUCUAUGUGAAUAAAUAAAUAUGCAGAAUUGGGAGUGAUAGCUCACUCCAGAAUAACAAAUCCAGAACAUAAUUGUGUAGUAUGAAGCCAAGAGCUAUUUCCAAGAGUUACACUGAAUGUCCAAAAUGUGAUGGAUGUCAACAUUCAUAAUGGAUGCUGACAAUUGCAUUUAGAUAAAUGUAAAUUUUAGGUAAAUGUAAAAUUUAGGUAAACAAUUCAGUGAAGGAUCUCUGAGUUUUGUGGCAUUCACACCUUCUUCUGGGAUUAUCAAUGUUUAGAAGUAAACAUUAAGAGUCACCAGACUUUGGAUCAUCGCUCUAUAAUGUUAUAUUUUUAAUGGGUUUUGAUCAAAAGACCCACUCUCAGAAGGGGUGGGUAGAAGGUGACGCUGAUAAUUUUUCUGAGAAUUGUUAUAAGAAUUUUAUUUUCUCAAGCUUCCUCUAAAUGGAGAGUUCCGGGGGACUUUGGGCAAUAUUUGGCAAAAUGCUCCUCUCCCCACCACCACCCAGCUUUUCCACCUGUGAGCAAGCUGGAGAAUUUCAGGUGCAACUAUGAAUCUAUAUUUUCAACCCCGUUCACUUUAAUUUGCAGUAUAUAGUUUCUGUUUUGUUUUUCCUCUAGUUUUUAGGAAAUGUUAAUGAAGCUUGUAUUUUUCUUGGUUUUCGUGUAAACUGCUUGGAGAUUUUUAAAAUAAUAUUAAGUGGUAUAAAAAUCAUAAACAAAUAAACUACAGCUCAUUAAAAAUGGAAGGAAAACCUUCCCGUCUCAAACUCGUAGCCAUGAUAGAAAAACACGCAAGCCUAUGAGCUGUUCAAAUAAAGGUAACUAGGGCAAGGUGUCUAAGGCCCAGCAUACCUGAACAAUGGAGCCAAUGUUUGGUUGAGGAAAUACAAUACAGAAAUGGAUCAUGUUGACAGUGUCCUAUAAAGGACUGGGCUGAUUAUCUGAGGCAUGCACUUCCCUUUCUUUUUCAAAACAUUUCUUAAGAAGUCAACAUCCAGUUUAACCCCAGAUUAGGUGGGGCUGUGGAGGUUUCAUUAAGGUAAGGAAUGGGUGGGAGGCAAACAAGCAUGGGAAGUGAGGGAAUUAAGGUAGGCCACUGCUGAAAUUGGGAAGAACAUGAAGGGGAAGUGAUGUCUUUGCUAGACUAAGACAAGAUACAAUUCAGCAAAUAAAUAAAUAAAUAGGAUUGCUGUAUUUUGAAAAGAAAAAAAGAGGACACAUUUGCCCACUUCUACUUUUAACUCACUGGAAGGACAGAUCGUGAAGCUGAGGCUCCAAUACUUUGGCCACCUCAUGAGAAGAGAAGACUCCCUGGGAAAGACCCUGAUGCUGGGAAAGAUUGAGGGCACAAGGAGAAGGGGACAAGAGAGGAUGAGAUGGUUGGACAGCGUUCUCGAAGCUACGAACAUGAGUUUGACCAAACUGCGGGAGACAGUGCAAGACAGGAGUGCCUGGCGUGCUAUGGUCCAUGGGGUCACGAAGAGUCGGACACGACUAAACGACGAAACAACAACAACUUUUAACUACAGGUUGCUACGACUCCUUCUCCAAGAUCUUGUAGCUGAGCCAGCGUCCUUUUAGUUCAGCCGCAAGAGAAGGUAUUUAUACAGUAUGUAGCUAGUUUAAGAUGCUGCUCUGUUGUGAUUCUCUGCUGCAGACCAACUUAGCCAGGUGCCUAAGAUCUGAGUCUAAUGCACUAGAAAAAAAUUAUUGGGUUACUGUAAACAAAAAUACAGUAGCUGAGGCUCCAAUACUUUGGCCACCUCAUGAGAAGAGAAGAAUCCUUGGAAAAGACCCUGAUGUUGGGAAAGAUUGAGGGCACUAGGAGAAGGGGACGACAGAGGACGAGAUGGUUGGACAGUGUUCUUGAAGCUACGAACAUGAGUUUGACCAAACUGCGGGAGGCAGUGCAAGACAGGAGUGCCUGGCGUGCUAUGGUCCAUGGGGUCACGAAGAGUCGGACACGACUAAACGACUAAACAACAACAACAACAAACAAAAAUACCAAACGGAAAACCCCAGACAUAUUGCCAAAUUUUAAAAAUCCUCCCGAACAGAAAUUUUAAUCCUGAAAUUGAGGACAUGUCCAGGGAAAAGAGGACAUAUAUGGCAACCAGACUUGAAAAAGAAGAUGUAUCCUGGAGAAAUAGGACAUAUGGCAAUCCUAGCAGAAAAUGCAUGGUUGUUGCGUGCAAAGUCCCCUCUCUCCUAUUUGCCCUCAGAUUUAUUUAUUCUGUGGUGCUUUGCAGCUGUGACUGUCAUCGGCAUUUUGCAGCUCAUCCCUGGAAGAUUAGGAGAGUUGUACAGCUGUCUGCCCACAUUUCUACAGUGCAAGAAAACACACGUUCUGGGGGCAGGGCGCGACGUGCAUUUUGGGGGUGGGGCGCACCAUGUGCAGGGGCGGGGCAUGCAUUUGGGGGCGGGGCUCACAUUUGGGGGCGGGGGCGGGCAGCCGCGAUGGCGCCCCUGGGAUCGUGCUGCCUGGGGCGCCGCGCCCCCACCGUCCCUAUCUUCCUACGCUACUGCUUCUCACACUGAGCUCCCCAACACAGACAGCAUCGUAAUGGGGGGGUCUUUGUUCCCAGUUCCACCCUCCCAGUACAACUUCAGACCCUGCGGACAAGGCUAUAAACUAGCACACUAGUUUAUUUACUUGUUAAAUGCUUCACUUUAAGUAGCAUGUAACAAGUGAAAGACAGAGACAUAGAGGGGUACAUGAACAACUGGUCAUCACAAUUUGUAUCUUCCAUCCCCAUAACCAUGUCUGAUUAUGCUGUCUCCCAUGGCAUGUAUUCAUAUAAACAUUGCUGUCAGGAGAUAAUAAAACUGGUGGCAUAGAUGUUUUAAAGAUAUGAGGGCUAUGGGAAAGGCUUUGAUUUAUGCUUGACCUAUCUGACCAUUAUUUACCUGAGUGAGGAGUUCAGCUUGCUUCACUUUCAAAAUAGUAAUUGUGAAACACACAUUUUUAAACUGUUUCAAGUCUCUCAUAGCCACUUAGUCUGAACAAGUUUUAACCAGAGCGAGCAGAACCGCCAUUCAGUGAAACAAAUGGCUUGGUUUUAUCUAAGAGUGUAUUUUACUUUAAUUGAUAGUUGGUGUUGCCUGCUCUGUCUUUGUUGAGCCACAGCUCAAAGCUGCUAAAAUAGCAGCAGUUUUCAGACUAGUAAGGAAGCAGCAGCUAGACUGGUGACUGGGAGCAGCCGCCGAGACCACAUAACACCGGUCUUGAAAGAUCUACAUUGGCUCCCAGUACGUUUCCGAGCACAGUUCAAA